ACUCCUACGGGAGGCAGCAGUGGGGAAUAUUGCACAAUGGGGGAAACCCUGAUGCAGCCAUGCCGCGUGUGUGAAGAAGGCCUUCGGGUUGUAAAGCACUUUCAGCGAGGAGGAAGGUGUGUAGCUAACUACCAUACUAUCUGUGACGUUACUCGCAGAAGAAGCACCGGCUAACUCCGUGCCAGCAGCCGCGGUAAUACGGAGGGUGCGAGCGUUAAUCGGAAUUACUGGGCGUAAAGCGUGCGCAGGCGGCUUUGUUAAGCGAGAUGUGAAAGCCCC
rnacentral:rRNA from 1 species